UACGUAGGGUGCGAGCGUUGUCCGGAAUUACUGGGCGUAAAGAGCUCGUAGGCGGUUUGUCGCGUCGUCCGUGAAAACUUGGGGCUCAACCCCAAGCUUGCGGGCGAUACGGGCAGACUUGAGUACUGCAGGGGAGACUGGAAUUCCUGGUGUAGCGGUGAAAUGCGCAGAUAUCAGGAGGAACACCGGUGGCGAAGGCGGGUCUCUGGGCAGUGGCUGACGCUGAGGCGCGACAGCGUGGGGAGCAAACAGG
rnacentral:rRNA from 1 species